GCUGUCUUUUCUGUAGGGUUCAACUGACAUCUUUUUGGACUCCUGUUGUGGUGGGUCUUUGGGAACCUCUGCCUGCUCUUCACCUGGGAGCUCACCAGUGGGCUGCACAAUUUUUUGGCAUAGUUUUUCCUCUGCUAAAGUUUCCAUCUCAGGCUUCCAUUUUGUCGAAGUUUCCUAUCAAUAUUUCUGCCAUGAUGCAACGUUGACAUCAGCA
rnacentral:lncRNA from 1 species